rnacentral:misc_RNA from 1 species
GGGCGAGGGUCUCCUCUGAGUGAUUGACUACCCGUCAGCGGGGGUCUUUCAUUUGGGGGCUCGUGCCC